AGUCACAUACUAUAUAAUACUUCUUCUACCCGUGAAAUAAUCAGACUGAAAAAAAAACAACCCAAAAAAAAAAAAAAAUAUGAAGAAGAAGAAAAGAAAGUAAAACGUGUUUGUUUCUUAGAGGCGCCUCCUACCCGACAAGCCCCAAGAGCACGGUGAGGGCAAGAGUACUGAUAAUAGUUCGUUCCUGGUAUAAUACAUUAGAAGAAGCAUAUCUUUGAGACCAAUCUUGAGGUUUUGUGUAAAGCAAUCCCCAACCUCACAAUUUAUCAAAUGGUAGACUAGACUUCCUCCAUACCUAUUAUAUGUGUGUGUAUGUAUAUAUAUAUCAUUUUGCAGUAACAAAGUAGAUUGGAAAAGCCCAUGCAGAUUGCACACAAAACCACUUGGGCUAAAAACAUUCUAUCUACCUACAAGUUACCCCCAAAAAAAACAUAAAAAAGGGCAAAUUGCUCGGACUACUUGUUGGUCGGCAUUGUAGUAAGAGCAGUGCAGUGCAUCUAGCUGCCUGAAUCACACCAAUCAUUUGACAGUUGAUAACCUGCAGGAUCACCACAGAGCUUAAUUGGCAGGUACUGCUCGUUCACAGUGUUUUUUGCUACUUACCCAUAUAUCCUUGCAAACAUGGUGCUGAAAAUCUCCGAUUGAUAUCGGGUAACUUGCAUGCAUGUAAGAAGCCUCCACCGAAUAUUACAAGUUAUAAACCUACUCAAAAAGAUUAACUAGAUGCGAGCGAAAAAGGAAGAACGCAGCCUGAUUUCUCAUUUGUUUUUCUUCUUCUUCUUGAUU